UACGAAGGGGGCUAGCGUUGCUCGGAAUCACUGGGCGUAAAGGGCGCGUAGGCGGACUUUUAAGUCGGAGGUGAAAGCCCAGGGCUCAACCCUGGAAUUGCCUUCGAUACUGGGAGUCUUGAGUUCGGAAGAGGUUGGUGGAACUGCGAGUGUAGAGGUGAAAUUCGUAGAUAUUCGCAAGAACACCAGUGGCGAAGGCGGCCAACUGGUCCGAAACUGACGCUGAGGCGCGAAAGCGUGGGGAGCAAACAGG
rnacentral:rRNA from 1 species